CUACACCACGGCCUACACUACACCGCAGCCUCCAAAUACUACACCGAAGACGCCGCCUACAACAACGUAUGCUGCCUAGUUUACUACACCGAGGCUCCCAAGUACUACAUCACUAAGGCGUCGGAAUUCUACACGUCUAUGUAUGCUGCCCCUGCCUACUCCACCGAGGCCCCGUAUUACUACAACACUGAAGCGCUCAAGCACUACACUACAACCUGCGAUGCCCCGAGCUGCUACACCUACGUCCCGGAGUAUUACUGUGCGUAAAAGGAGUCGUAAGAAAAAAGAAGUGCCCGAACUGCAGUGCCCUAUCUGUCACCAACUGCAUUCCUCAUCGUGUAACCGAAUCGCAAUUAUGGUCAAGUAUGGCGUCGUGCUGCUGUUGGGUGUUGUAUCGUUGAUGGCUGGGUUGACUGCUGGUGUAGCUAUGUGUCCUUGGUAUGGCGGAAACUGAACCGCAACGCCGCCGCCUUCCUACACAACUAACGCAACAACCAGUUCCUGCGCCGAUGUCUUCAAGUACUACACCACUAAAGCACCGGAGUUUUAUAGCACAACUUACGCUGCCCCGAGCCACUACACUGACGCCAUGAAGUUUUACUCUGCCCCGAGUUACUACACCACCAAGGCGACGUAGCAUGACUAAGCAUGCUGCCACAUCCUACUACACCGAGGCUUCUAACUGCUACACCGAGGCUCCCGCUGAUUUCUCCACCAAGACGGUCGAAUACUACACCGAAGCGGCAAAGUACUUUUCUGCCCCGAUCUACACAACCACAACUGAGGCGGCCAAGUAUUACGCAGUCCCGACUUGCUACACACAGGCCGCUCUUUCGUGCUACGUUGAACAGAAAUACUACAGUGAUGCUCCAGUCUACUACACCACGACCCACGCAACACCUAGCUUCAACACCGCAGCCCCCAAGUACUACACCGAAGAAGCCGCCUAUUACACAACUACGUACGCUGCCUAGUUUACUACAUCGACGAAUUUAAGUAUUGCCCUGCUCCAAACUACCAAACUUAGGUUCAUAUGUAUUGCAAUUUUCAUGACUAUCACCACUGCUCCGACCUACCUAAGUUCUGAAGUAUUUCUCUGUAUUUGUGAAGAUUGCUGAAAUACAAGAUUGAUUUUUAAAUCACAA